CUAUACAUUUAAUUAGGGUGGGUAAAAAUCUAAGGCGACCCUCUUUUUUUUCCCCCCGGAGUUUUCCCCCCCCCCGUGGGAGUAAAAUUUUCCGAGGGAAAUGCUUUUUUUUGGCAACCAGAAGUUCCGGGCCCCGGGCCACGGGGGGGGAUCAACCGUAGAGGUGUGCCCCGUGUUUGGCCCAAAAAUAGUUCACUUUUUUUCCUUUCAGGAUAACAGGAGAAUACCGGGCUUCUCUUUUUUAAUUGGGUGUAAACUGUUAAACCCCCCUAUACGGUAUAGGGUUGCCAAUCUUGUGGAGAAGGGUGAAAAGGGGCGGGGGGGUUUUGGGCUAAUUACCCCACUUGGCGAAAGGGGGGAUUUGGGGAUAGGGCGAAAUAAGGUGGGGAAACGGCAAGGUUUUUGCCUGUUCGUGAUGUUGGUAAAUCGAACGGCCCGGGGAAUUGUAAUUUUACUUCGCUACUAGGGCGAAAUUGAAUUGAGCGGGCCGCGAACUCGCUCUUACCCGCUGAACUUACGCAUAUCAAUAAGCGGAGGAAAAGAAACUAACAAGGAUUCCCCUAGUAACUGCGAGUGAAGCGGGAAAAGCUCAAAUUUGAAAUCUGGUGGUCUUUGGCCAUCCGAGUUGUAAUUUAGAGAAGCGUCUUCCGCGCUGGACCGUGCACAAGUCUCCUGGAAUGGAGCAUCAUAGAGGGUGAGAAUCCCGUCUUUGACACGGACUACCUGUACAUUAUGGUGCGCUCUCAAAGAGUCGAGUUGUUUGGGAAUGCAGCUCAAAAUGGGUGGUAAAUGCCAUCUAAAGCUAAAUAUUGGCGAGAGACCGAUAGCGAACAAGUACCGUGAGGGAAAGAUGAAAAGAACUUUGGAAAGAGAGUUAAACAGUACGUGAAAUUGCUGAGAGGGAAACGCUUGAAGUCAGUCGCGUUGGCCGGGGAUCAACCUUGCUCUUGCUUGGUGUACUUUCUGGUUGACGGGUCAGCAUCAAUUUUGACCGCUGGAAAAAGGCCUGGGGAAUGUGGCAGCUUAGGAUGUGUUAUAGCCCAUUGUCACAUACAGCGGUUGGGAUUGAGGAACUCAGCUCGCCGCAAGGCCGGGUUUCGACCACGUUCGUGCUUAGUGUAUGUCUGGCAUAAUGGCUUUAAACGACCCCUCUAGUAAACACGGGGGAGGGAGAAUUUGUUUACCCCUGACGGAGCUAUUCUCCCCUUAUUUGGG
rnacentral:rRNA from 1 species